rnacentral:lncRNA from 1 species
GGACCCGAGAGACCAAGGAGGCCCACAGAGUUAGAGUUACAGAGACUGCCCAGCAGUUGACAGAGGUGAGUGGAACAGAACUUUAUUUUAAAAGUUAAGAAUUGUUUUAGCAUGAUUCAUGCAUCAUUAUGCUAUGUGUAUGUAGGAUGCUUUGCAUUAGUAUUCAUCAAGUUGAUGCAUUGCAUUAUUACUUGUAUAUGUGGAUUGGACCGAGGCGAUCUCAAUAGCCCAUAAGUCUGUCAUUAUUGUAUGUCCUGUGUGAGCUCCUUUGGGGCCGGGCAUUUACCUUGGAUGAGUCCUGUGAGAGCCCUUAUAGGGUCGGGCACCAUGAGUAGUUAGUGAAAGACCUGUGUGAGCUCCUUUGGGAGCCGGGCACUGACAGAGGGAGUUUUGGGAUCAUGUCCAAUCCGAGAUGUGAAAUGUUUGUGCAGUGAUGCAUCAUAUGAUAGCAUGUUUUAAAUGUGAUUUUUUAUAGAUUCCGCUCACUGGGCUUUAGCAGCUCAUCCCUCUCCCUAACCCCAUUUUUUCAGGGCCUCAGAGAAGAGAAAGAGAAAGAGAUAGCAAGGGUAAAAGGCAUAAGUAAUAGUAUAGAAAAGUGGACAUGAUAAUGAUGUACAGUACAGAGUUUAUGUAAUGUAUAGAAAUGAUGUAAUAGCAAGUUAUGUAUUGAGUUAUAGAAUUGUGCUUGGCCCUAGUG